UGACUGGAGAGGUUUCUAUAAGGUGCCAGGAUGUCACCGUCUAUUUCUCAAUGGAGGAGUGGGAGUAUUUAGAAGGACACAAAGAUCUGUACAAGGAUGUCAUGAUGGAGGAUGACCAGCCUCUCACAUCCCCAGUUAAGGAAGAGAUAAGAACACCGGAGAGAUGUCCCAGUCCUUUUCUUCCACAGGAU